UACGGGGGGAGCAAGCGUUGUUCGGAUUUACUGGGCGUAAAGGGCGCGUAGGCGGCCACCGCAAGUCAGUUGUGAAAUCUCCGAGCUUAACUCGGAACGGUCAACUGAUACUGUGCGGCUAGAGUGCAGAAGGGGCAACUGGAAUUCUUGGUGUAGCGGUGAAAUGCGUAGAUAUCAAGAGGAACACCUGCGGCGAAGGCGGGUUGCUGGGCUGACACUGACGCUGAGGCGCGAAAGCUAGGGGAGCGAACGGG
rnacentral:rRNA from 1 species